rnacentral:sRNA from 1 species
UUCUGAAUAGCACAGACAUCAAUGGCUCCCCUUUCCCUGUGAUGGCGUUUCAGUUUUUGAGACGGAGUCUCACUUUGUCACCCAGGUGGGAGUAGAGUGGCGUGAUCUGGGCUCACUGCAACCUCCGCCUCCUGGGUUCAAGCGAUUCUCCUGCCUUAGCCUCCCCAGUAGCUGGGACUACAGGCAUGUGCCACCAUGCCCUGCUAAUUUUUGUAUUUUUUGUAGAGACAGGGUCUCGCCACGUUGCCCAGGCUGGUUGGGAACUCCUGGGCUCAAGCGAUCCACUUGCUUUGACCUCCCAAAGUGCUGGGAGUACAGAUGUGAGCCACCGCACCCAGCAUGUAUUUUAAAUGUUUUAUAAUGAACACAUAUUACUUUUAAAAUCAGGAUAAGACAAAACUAAAAAACCUUGUUUAUGUAUAAAAGGCAUAGCUGAGAACGUGAACGUGAUGC